AUGGAAUCAUUUACUAAAUCAUGUAAAUUGAAUCAUUGUGGUCUCACUGUGAACUGUGUCUGUUGUGGUCCUAUAGAGCUGUAUGGACCCUCACUCCUCAUCACACAAACCAACAACAGUCACACCACUCUGUCCUGUUCUGCUACUGGACAACCUACUCCUAUAGUAACCUGGGACAACACAGAAAUUCUAGAAAAUUCCACAAUGGUCAAUGUCACCCAUCUCAAUGGUACUGUCACAGUCAUCAUAACUUUCACGCUGGCAGCAUUCAGUCUACCUGACAAAGACACCAGGGUUGUCUGUGUGGUGUCACUGUUCUCUGGAGGUGUCACCAAGAACGUAUCCAUGGUUAUUCCAGCUAGAACUCAAGCUUCAUUUCCUGGUGUACCUGAGGUCACUGAUGGUGACAGGAUCAGUGGUAAGUCAUUAAUAUAAUGACCAACUAAUCUCUGACUCUUAUCUGUGAAUUGUACCAUUCUCAUCUUGUCAUCUUUCACAGUUAAGCCAACAGUAAUUGUUUCAGUGAUGGGUUCACUGUGUUUCAUUGCUGUGUGCUGUGGAGCUGUGGUACUGUGGUGCAAACUGAGAAAUACAAUGAGAAGGUAAGUUUUACCAUGCUGUUGACAAAGAGAAAUUACAGUAUUACUUUUACAUUGUUUUUGUAAGUUUGACAAUCAAUCUUUAGCCCAAAUUCCCACAGUCCAUGACAUAGAACAGGAAGAACUAUCAACACUCAACCCUCAACAUGAUGACUGAAAUCCACAAGUCUAGUAAGACACAUAUUGUAAUUAACAGUAGGGUUUAUGAUUUCAAGUAGACAGUGUUUGUACUUACUGUAGGUAAGAAAUAGAGUAUAAAAUAUUUAAUUGUUUUGCCACGGGACGACUCUCUGGUAGUGGCCUGAGACCACACAGAACACAUUGCUUUGGAAAAGUCUACUAUGGUCAAUGUCACCCAUCCCAAUGGAACUGUCACUGUGACAACUACUGCAACAGUGGUAGUGUCCAGUCUACCUGACAGACACCAAGGUUAAGUGUGUGGUACCUUCUGGUGGUGCCACUAAGGAGGUUUCUAUGGUGAUUCCAGUCAAUGAUCAAGUCUCAUUGGCUGGUGAAAGAGGCCAUGGUUUGUAAAUACAUACAUGAUAAUUGGCAUGUUUGUACUGUAAGUGUGUGUGUUUAUUCUUUGUGGGCUAGCUCAAUCUAGUCUCCAAUAUCUGGAUCAGUGGUAACUCAGUGACUCUUGUUGUUAUAGUGCAAAGACAUAGUCAACCGAUUUACUUAUUGUUAUAGUCAACCUAUUUACUUAUUGUUAUAGUCAACCUAUUUACUUAUUGUUAUAGUCAACCGAUUUACUUAUUGUUAUAGUCAACCUAUUUACUUAUUGUUAUAGUCAACCUAUUUACUUAUUGUUAUAGUCAACCUAUUUACUUAUUGUUAUAGUCAACCUAUUUACUUAUUGUUAUAGUCAACCUAUUUACUUAUUGUUAUAGUCAACCUAUUUACUUGCCUUCUUAUGCUUUGCCUGUGAAUCAUAUCAUUGUACUGGUCACUUUCAAUAUAUUUCAUCCACAGGUGCAGUGAUUGGUUCAUUCUGUCUCUUUUAAUGUAUGAAAAGAACAAAUUACCCAAACUUACCCUCCAUAAACCCUCAAUCUUUAGCUGGGUGAUUGAAGAUCGGGUCUUUUUUCAGAUACAGUAUCUGAGAGAAAGUACAGUUUUACUAUGAUCUUGAUUGUCAAACUUACAUGUGUUUCCCUGGAACCAUUAAUGCUGUUAUUCUGGAAUAUGUGCUGUGCCUUCCAGUGGAAUAUGAGAUUUGACUGCUUUCAGAUUACUUUAUCAAAUGUUCUCUUUUUUGAUGCACAGAGCCUGAUAACCCUGAAAUCAGGAGGACUCUCGCAACUAGAUUCAUUAUGAUUAUAUUACUUAGAUGUUGUGUAUGUGGUCAAAAUAUCAUAUUUCAAAGUUUUUGCAAAAACAAUCGAUUUGCACAUAUUCCUUUUGAAGGUUGCACUGCAAAUUCCAACAUUUCUUCAAACUAUGUUUUACAGUGGUUCCAAGGUUCCACAAUGACUGUAGGCCCAUUGGCAGGUUUUGCAUUAAACCUUUAUGAUAGACUGCAUAGACACAAUAUUCCCCACAAAGAUCUCUGAAUUUACCAAAUUGAAAUGUGAUGAUAUAUUUAUCUUUCUUUGUUGUUUCUCAGAAACUGCUGAGCAUGGUGUUGGUUGAACCGGAGUGGUACUACAAGUCUGAGGCAGAGUUACUGCACAAUGUCUUCUCUGGAGCUCAGCUUACCUACUUAUCUGUAUGUAAAUAUACAUCUGUCUGUCUGUCUGUCAGGCUCUCUGUUUCUGUCUCUCUGUCUGUACUUUUAGUUUCAAGUUAAGCUUCUACAAGUUGAGCAUAGGCUUUGACAUCAAGCUGGUUUUAUAGAAAAUAGACAAACUCAAGAUAACAUCUGAAGAACCCUCCAUAUCAUGACAAUGUAGCCAAUGAAAAUACAGUGACAUUGAAGCGCCUCCACAUGGAAGAAAAAUUUGACUCUGAAACUGGAACUUCCCCUAUAGAAAGAAUUUGACUUCAACAACAAAUCAAGGAGGAUGAUUCAAACACUUUAUUCAUAGAAAAUACAAGGUUGUUAUCCUAUUCACUUUAUCAAGUUACUUUGUGUUUUUUUGCUGUUUACACAUUAGGGAAAAUAACAGAUAGGUAUCAUAUAUGCAAAUAACUGUCAAAAAAUCUGAAUUGGGCUGCCUGUGUAAAUGCCGCCUUAUUGCAGCUUAUUACCUAUCUGUUAUUUUCCCUAAUGUGUAAACAGCAAAAAAACACAUUGAAUCUGAUUUUUUGAAUCCUGAUACAAACCCCAUCCUCCAUAUACGACCUCUGUCUGAAUGCUCAGAUUUUUUUGUUGUUGGCACGUGACGUUACCAUGACCACCACCCCAAAAUGUAAAGGAGCAGUGACAGGAAAUGAGAAUUGCAUUUCUGUGUGACUUCUGAGUGUGAAUGCCGAAAUCUGAUAUGGGUCUGAAAAAAAGAUUGGAUAUAGAAAGGAAAUCAGAUUUGGGGUCUUAGGCUGAAUGUGUAAACACAGUUAUAUAACUUCAGAGGAAGCACUCUGCUGCAUCUCAGCUGUGAUAUUUGUAACUUCUGACUGUUCUACAACACACCAUACCUCUAGUCAUCUGCUUAUCAGAACCUUGAAUAGUCCAAUCAGAUGUGGUAGAACUGUGCUGGAGAAAAAAGCCUGCACAACCAUUUUGGCCACCCCUGAUUUAUAUGUACAAAAGUUCCUAUGUCUGAUGAUUUUGCAGUAAAUUAUGUAUUUUUUGAUAACUCACUUUUGCUGACAGGUACAGUAUUUUAGUACUAGGGGUGUCUUCAGUAAACUUUAAAGUAACUUACAAAGUUUAUGUUGAAGAUUGUUGUAUUUUCCAGGAGCUUGCUCGAUUGUCUUGUUAAAAGAGAUCAGGGAAUAAUUUUCCAGUUUAUCCCAUAUUGGCUUAAAUGGGUUUCUGGUUUUUCGCUUCCCUCUGGAAAAUCAGCUCUUAGUAUUUCACAGUAAUAUUGAAUAAAUACUAAUAACUACCUUAUUUCUAUUGCCUUUUGUCAUUAUUGUGUACUUUUACCUCAGAUAGACGACACACCUUAUUAACAGCUUUUUGCGUGUGGAAAUGUUGAGUAAUGUAAAUCAGCUUUUGAUGUAAAACCAUGGAAAUUAAACACAAAAACUAUCAAGGCACAAGGUG
rnacentral:lncRNA from 8 species